rnacentral:lncRNA from 1 species
UCAAUAGUGAAUUUGUCUAUGUGGGAACAUAACAGAGUCUCCACCCUUAGCACCAGGUCAGCCUGAAUCUGACUGUCCUUCUCAAGGUAUACAUUUUUGGAAGAAUUCAUUUACCUGAGGACGUGUGCAGGAGAAAUAAAGCAUUAAUACAACUGUGGUGAAACUGAUUCUGUAACAGUGCACUGACAACAAACUAGUAAGAAAAUGCUGGGUGUGGUGCCCCUGGACUCACCUGUUCGUCGUUAUUGUAACGAGGGAGAGCUGUGAAAUCAGAGAGCAAGUGUUGGACGGGAAGAAGUUGCCAUUUUGUAGCCUGGUCGGAAAGAAAAGGUUGCAGUCUGCAUUGAGCUUGGACUUAAGACCAGCAUGGAUGUGGAAAGGGGUGCUUGAGAAGAGAUCAGUUGGCUGUGAGGAACAGCGUGGAGGCUUCUGAGGCAGCCUGCUUUGUGGUACCAGGCUUUGGGAUUUCUUUUCUACCUGUGUAAACAGGUGAAGUGGAGGCAGCCCGUGAAGUGCUGGGGGAGAGUGAGAUGAUUUCAUGUUUGCCUGGAUACAAGAUCUACUUGUAUGACAUAUCAAAAGCGUUCAGUAAUAGCUCUGCAGGCUUUUUCCUGCAGAACAGCACCAGUUUGGGAACAGCUUCACUGGGCUAAAACUCAGUUGCUCUGUGUGGCAGAGGGCAGCAAGGUGAGCCAACACUCCGCAGCACAUCUGUGUUCAUUCAGACAGGCAUUGGACAGAAGGAUGUUAAAAAAUAAUUAUACGUCCCCUACCCUGUCUUUAAAUAUUCAAAGAAAAAGUCACGGAAGAACUGAUAAUGUAACAAUAAUAAUGAGGCAGAAGAACAGCACUGUAGCGUGAACUCAUAUAUCCCUUGGUUUCAUUUACAUGUGUAGCAGCUGCUUGUUUCUCCAUCAUAGAAAGAUCAUUACCUGGCUUGUAAGGAGAGAGGGGAAGUCUGUUCACCUGUAGGCAACUAGCUCUGCAUCUAUGAAUAGUUCUUCCCCAUCUCAUUACACGUGUAAUUGCUGCAUUAUAAUUUAUUCAUUCAUUGAUUUAAUGUAAUAGAUGAGUAGAAAGAAAAUUACCUUUGCAAAUGAAUUUGAUAGGUGGGAAAUCUGCACGGUUUGAAGCAAAAAACACCAACAAACACCACAAAAAGCCCCACAGAACAUUCAGUGUGCACUGUGAGGUGCCUAGUGGAUGGCAGCGCAGUGUGUGAGCACUGAAAACAGUCUGGGCUCCUUAGAAAGUGAAGGUGAAUCCAGCCGACUCCAGUGCUGGUGCAAAAGAAAAGGCUGUGGAACUUAACUUACAGGCAGUUUAUAUUUACAUUCUCAGAUAUGUGAUUUCUUGAUGAAAUGGGGAGGCAGCUGAAAAUGAGUGAUAAACAGGACGAGAAGAGGACUCAAACAUUGGAAACACAAAGGUAGGAAGUUUGCAAACCAUCUGGAGAAACCGAGGCUGCCUUUCUGUUAGUUGCAGCCCUCCCAUUUACAAACAGUGUAUUGACAUCACUCCUGCCUGCCGUCAGGCUCUGACUGCUUUCCCUGGCUGGGCUGGGCUGCACGGGAGGUCGCCACAAGACAUUUCUGAGUCAUGUGCUGCAGGUGAGACACUGAGCAUCACCAUCCUGCUGAGCAGGACAGGGGCGUUAAGGGCAGGGGAGGAACAGCCCCAUCAGCCCUGCAGCCCAGCACAGGAGGGGCAGCGCUGCGGCCUCACCCACUGGCACAGCAUUAUGGAAGGAUGGAGUGGGGGGGCAGCUGACUGCAUCAUUGUACUCACAGCUCGUGAGCAGCUGCAGCACUGCUGUGUGCUGGGGUGUGCAUGGGCCGAGCCGGCCAGGACAAGCACGUAA